CGGCAGGCCUAACACAUGCAAGUCGAGGGGCAGCGAAGAUUGCUUGCAAUCUGUCGGCGACCGGCGCACGGGUGCGUAACGCGUAUACAAUCUACCUCAUACUGGGGGAUAGGCUUUAGAAAUGAAGAUUAAGACCCCAUGGUAUCCUGAUACUGCAUGGUAUCGGGAUUAAAGGUUACGGUAUGAGAUGAGUAUGCGUUCUAUUAGCUAGUUGGUAUGGUAACGGCAUACCAAGGCAACGAUAGAUAGGGGCCCUGAGAGGGGGAUCCCCCACACUGGUACUGAGACACGGACCAGACUCCUACGGGAGGCAGCAGUGAGGAAUAUUGGACAAUGGAGGGAACUCUGAUCCAGCCAUGCCGCGUGCAGGAAGACUGCCCUAUGGGUUGUAAACUGCUUUUAUACAGGAAGAAACACCUCUACGUGUAGAGGCUUGACGGUACUGUAAGAAUAAGGAUCGGCUAACUCCGUGCCAGCAGCCGCGGUAAUACGGAGGAUCCAAGCGUUAUCCGGAAUCAUUGGGUUUAAAGGGUCCGUAGGUUGAUAAUUAAGUCAGAGGUGAAAUCCUGCAGCUUAACUGUAGAAUUGCCUUUGAUACUGGUUGUCUUGAGUUAUUAUGAAGUAGUUAGAAUAUGUAGUGUAGCGGUGAAAUGCAUAGAUAUUACAUAGAAUACCAAUUGCGAAGGCAGAUUACUAAUAAUGCACUGACACU
rnacentral:rRNA from 1 species